rnacentral:rRNA from 1 species
AACAAACGCUGGCGGCGUGCCUAAUACAUGCAAGUCGAACGGGUAGCAAUACCAGUGGCGCACGGGUGAGGAAUACAUAGAUAAUCUGCCCUCGAGUCGGGGAUAACCAGUCGAAAGAUUGGCUAAUACCGGAUAAGACCACAGGAGCUGAGGCUCUAGGGGUUAAAGGUUUUUCGCUUGAAGAUGAGUCUAUGCGAGAUUAGCUAGUUGGUGAGGUAAUGGCUCACCAAGGCGACGAUCUCUAACUGGUCUUAGAGGAUGAUCAGUCACACUGGAACUGAGACACGGUCCAGCCGCCUACGGGAGGCAGCAGUAGGGAAUAUUGCGCAAUGGGGGAAACCCUGACGCAGCGACGCCGCGUGAGGGAUGAAGGCCUUCGGGUCGUAAAGCUCUGUCGUAUGGGAAUAACACAAUGAAUGUACCAUGCAAGAAAGGAUCGGCUAACUUCGUGCCAGCAGCCGCCGUAA